UGUGGUGCGGACUUGAUGCCACAGCCGUGAGAUUUAAUCCAACGGCUCACGUUUUAAAAUGAAUCUCGCGGGUCCUUUCCGGGUAAAAAAUACGGGUUAAAACAAAAUCCCCCCCUUCUGCUUCCAUUUCACGCGUUCAACCCAGAGAAGAGAGAGACUGAAGAAGAUAUCGAGAAGAAGAAGAAAGAACGAAGAAGAAGACGAAGAAGAAAGAGCAGCACUCCGGACGACGAACGACGACCGACGGAACAUAAUGGAUGUGAUUUCUUCCAUUGGAUUGACCCCCAAAGAAACAUGGAGGUGGAAGAAAUUACAAGAGAGAAUCAAGUACUGACCAAAAGGAAUGAGAAGUUGAGAAAAAAAUUACAAGAAGCUGAAGCUAAAGUGUGUGACUACAAAAUGAGGUGCUUGAUUAUGUCAGCUUUAUGCAUUGUCAUGUGGUUCAUCUACAAUGAUGUAACUGUUCCGAACAUGAGGAACAUGAAAUACCCGCCUUAGUUGAUUAGGUUGUGAAUGUAAUCCAACUUCUUUUUGAACAAUUUCUUGGUUAAGGUUGGAACUGAAUGAAAUUUGUUGGUGCUUGA